AUUUUGUAUCCCGAGCUGUAUGGUCGUGAAGUAAUGUCAGUUUAACGCCAGGGUCGUUGAAAAUGGGUUUAUACUCUCUAAACGGACAAUGACCCAAAACACACCUCCGGGCUGUGUAAAAGCUACUUGACAAAGAAGGAGAGUGAUGGAGUGCUGCAUCAGAUGACCUGGCCUCCACAGGCACCUGACCUAAACCCAAUAGAGAUGGUUUGGGAUGAGCUGGACCGGAGAGUGAAGGAAAAGCAUCCAACAAGUGCUCAGCAUAUAUGGGAACUCCUUCAAGACUGCUGGAAAAGCAUCCCAGGUGGCUACCUCAUGAAGUUGGUUGAGAGAAUGCCAAGAGUGUGCCAAGCUGUUAUCCAGGCAAAGGGCGGCUACUGUGAAGAAUGUAAAAUACAAGAUUGUUUUGAUUUGUUUUGCCUUUUUUUGGUCACUGCAUAAUUCCAUUUGUGUUAUUUCAUAGUUUUGAUGACUUGACUAUUUUCUCAAAUGUGGGAAUUGGUAAAAAUAAAGAGAACCCUUUCUGUGA